rnacentral:rRNA from 1 species
UCUGGUGCUUUGUCGCCGGGGUCACACCCGUUCUCAUUCCGAACACGGCAGUUAAGCCCGGUUGAGCCGAUGGUAGUCGCAAGGCAAGAGUAGGUAGGCGCCAGAA